CUCAUAAAUGUGCAUGCACUAGCCUCAUGGCAUCAGGCCUGAUUGUGUGCUCUGGCUAGCAUCACAAUGAAUGUCAACAUUGCCUAACGACAAGUCCCUGAAGCUUGGAGGAGAUCUUCCUGGAGUUGGAUCAGCAGUGGACUCUAGCCUGUCUUCUUUGUGGAAUCCACGAGAUAGUCCCAUGAUCCUAGGAGAGGCAGAUAUGAGCCAGCCAGAAAAAACGUCAAGCACAGCCCCAGGAAUAAACUGUGAAACCCUUGAAGAUGCAAAAUGAUCCGCAGGAUUCUUCAGACCUGCCUAGAUGUUGUAUGGGUGAAUGUGCAGGACCCCAUCCACACCUUACCAGAUUGUAUCCUCACCGCUAUCUGACGUUAUUGUUGCUCACACCCUAUGUCCCAGAAUGAAAUACCAAAAUGAUGAAGGAUUGCUCCCUCAUGACCUGAAGCACUUGCUUACCUGGGAACUGAAUUUGAGGGGGAAGAUAUUUGGUCCCUGGAGGGUAUUGGCCAGACUCCUAAUUCACUGCAGACUCAAGAUCCACAGAAAAAUAAAGAACACGGUGCCCCACAGCCCAAGCAGAGCCACAAAGAGAGGCCACCAAAAGGAGGAGGUUAUUUGGACCCUCACAGGUCUCAGCCAGCCUUCCAAUUCACUAUAAAUUAAUGAUCCACAGAAGAAUAAAGAAUGUUGAGCCCUACAUCACAAGCAAGCCACAGAGAUAGACCAUCAGAAGCUUGGGAGAAUCAAAAAAUAAAAAAAAGAAGAGCUGCA